ACAAAAUCUUCAAAAGUUGUGAUGGUUUAGAAGAUGUUUAUGCAAAGGUUUUUUUUUUUUUUUUUGAGACGGAGUCUCACUCUGUCACCCAGGCUGGAGUGCAGUGGCACUAUCUCGGCUCACUGCAACCUCCGCCUCCCAGGUUCAAGCAAUUCUCCUGCCUCAGCCUCCUGAGUAACUGGCAUUACAGGCACAUGCCACCAUGCCUGGCUAAUUUUUGUAUUUUUAGUAGAGACGGGUUUCACCAUGUUGGUCAGGCUGGUCUCAAACUCCUGACCUCGUGAUCCACCUGCCUUGGCCUCCCAAAGUGCUGGGAUUACAGGCAUGAGCUACUGCGCCCAGCUGCAGAGUUUUUAUUAGCACAAUUUCUGGCUCAUGUAAGCAUUCAGUGCAUGUUCUGUAAUUAUCAAUACAUGAAUGGGUGUGUUGAGCGCUUGUGUAGGGUUCUGUGCUAAGUUUAAUCUUAGUAUUUAAGCUGUGGUUCUAACAUUUUGGUGAGAAUUUGGCAUUUUCAAUGAAUUACUCAUGUAUCGUGAAUUGUUUGGUUUUUGUUUGUUUGUAUUAUUUUUUGCUUUUUGUCUUUAAAACUGAGCAUUUGCCUCUGUCAGUAAGGUAAUGUUCUCAAGUAAAUGGUUUCAGAAAAACAAUAUGGUAACAAGCCUCAAGAUAAUAACAACUACAAAUAUUUCAGCCGUCUACAAUAUAAGUAAAAUGAUUUUACCUAUUUGUUUAUAACUUUCGGUAGAAGCCAACAUGAGAUGUUUUAAUUUUUUUCCCCCAUCUUGCUAAAGGAAUGUAAUCAAAAAGGAAAUUCAUUAAUUUAAAUUUCUGAAGCGCUUAAUGUUCAGCCACCUGCCUGGGGAAUAAAAAUUAAUUAUAUUCUUAUUCAAAGGCAGCUUAUAAUUGUUUUUCAGUAGAACCAAAUUAUUGACUCGUUCCCAAAGCCCCUGCUGUUAACCUCUGAAUAGUUCAUUUCUGAUGGACAGCUGUGUUACAAGUUAAAUGCCUCUUCUGUGAUACUUCUACUGCAUUUGGAGUUAGAAUAUUCCAACUUCAUUUAAACUGAGAUAAUGUGUUCAUCUUAUGUUUCAUUUUGAACAUUUUCCCCUUUUUAUUAUGGAAAAUUCUGAAGUAUAAAGAAUACAACAUGUGCCCAGCACCUAGCCUCAAAAUGUGUCCAUCAUUAGGUUAUUUAUUUUUAAAACUAUUUGGUAGGUUUUUGUUUCGUUUUGUUUUUUUAAAUAUCUGGCUUGCCAUCUGUAUUUGUCAGUUAGUUUUCUUUGACUGUUAAAUUGACUGAACCUCCGAAAAGCGAAUUGUCAAAAUCUUCACUCUCAAGAUAAGUGAUAUUAUUUGGUUUUCGAUUUUUUAAUAAAAUCUUAAAGGCAAAUAAUUUUUCAUUUAAAGCUUUAAACUCCAAGCAAAAACUUAUUUUCUGCUGUCUUAUUCCAGUUUAACUUACAUGUGUAGAGCUGGAGCAAUUCGGACAGAUGAUAACUGUAUUGUAUUAAAGACAUUACCUUGUUUGGUUCGAAUGUGCAGUAAGGAGAGAUUACUAGAGGAGAGAGUUGAAGGAGCUGAGACACUUGCCUAUCUGAUUGAACCAGAUGUUGAGCUACAGAGAAUCGCUAGCAUAACUGAUCACCUCAUUGCCAUGCUUGCUGAUUAUUUCAAGUAUCCCAGCUCAGUGAGUGCCAUCACUGAUAUUAAAAGGCUUGAUCAUGAUUUAAAACAUGCUCACGAACUCCGCCAGGCUGCAUUCAAGCUCUAUGCCUCUCUUGGAGCAAAUGAUGAAGACAUCCGGAAGAAGGUGAGUCUGGGAGAGGGGCGUCCCCCAGUCCUGACAGCCAGCAGGCAGGGAGUGACGUCAACCUGAAAGUCGUGGUGAAGAGCACUAACAGUGACUGUUUGAAUAUAAUAAAGCAGAGUGACUAAAGGCAUAAUUGAAGAAUGAAUGGGACCCGGAUUUGGGGGGUUGUUUGUUUGUUUUUAGAACAUAGAGUGGCAUGGCCGUGCUGGAAUGACAAAUAACUGGCGUGCUUUUUUUUUUGUGUCAUUAAUAUGAAUUAUUAUGUUGCACAUUUUUGCAUGUGUUCUGAUAAAAAUCAAUUCUAGCACUGUGAAGCUUCAGACACCUUGAAAGUCCUAACAUUAGAAUUGUAAAUGUUAUUUAUGGAAAUACCUUCCAAUGCUAUUGAGAAAUUCAAAUCUCUAUUGUAUAUUGUUCUUUGAUAUGUGGCUUAGUUUUAUGUUUUGAUUUUUUUGCUACUGUGCAAGUUUAAUGUGAAUAAAAUCUUUGUGGAAUGAUGAUUUUAUGUUUAGUGAGUGGUCAUCUGAAUUUUCCAGCUCCCCAGAAAAUGUAUGCACUGGUAUAGCACCCUUAUGUUACUAAAGCCUAGUCUAACACUGAACUCAUGUUCUUGAUGAGAAUACUUCUAGAUGAGGAGUAUAGUGGUAAGUAAGCUCUGACUUGGCUCCUUCCACAAACCAAAAAGCUGGAACUUACCACUCAAAAACAUGUAUAAUAAAUUCUACACAAGGCUUUCAAGACCAUCAGAGAGCAAAACCACAUGUUCUGUCUUGAGGAGCCAUAGCAGAAAGAGCAAAUUAGUCAUUAUUUACUGAACAUGAUGAUUUACUAAAUCUCUCCAUCUGCAUUAGUAUUUUAAGGAGCACUGUGAGAGAAAUCACAAAGUAUUAGAGUUUACCAUGAUUCAGAGAAGUUCUUCAGGCCUGUAGAAAGAGGAGUAUGGAACAACCUUACAUUUGUUGAAAUAACUUGAAAAGGAACCAUUUCUUGAAGAAACUGAAGUAAUAGCAAUAAGAUUCGAUGUGUGAGUAGCUUUGAUUUAAAAUCAAUGCAAAAAGCACAACUAAUAAAUUGAAUGUUUCCAUGUACCUCACUUUAUUUCAGUUAACAAGAUAUUUUGACUUGAAGUGUUUUUAGUGUAUCCCUAUGAAAAUCAUUUUUGGUACAUCUAAGUUUUCAUUUAUAAACUGUUAUUUCAAAGCAAACAUACUAGUGAUAUAUAUAUGAUUUAUGGAUGUUGACGCCAAUGUUCAGUUUGGGUACGUUGGUGUAUUGCAAGGGGAG
rnacentral:sRNA from 1 species